AGUUUAACGGCCGCGGUAUUUUGACCGUGCAAAGGUAGCGCAAUCACUUGUCUUUUAAAUAGAGACCUGUAUGAAUGGCCAAACGAGGGCUUAACUGUCUCCCCCUUCCAGUCAGUGAAAUUGAUCUAUCCGUGCAGAAGCGGGUAUAAAUAUACAAGACGAGAAGACCCUUUGGAGCUUAAGGUACAAAGUUUAACCAUGUUAAACAACUUAUUAAAAAGCAAAAACUUAAUGGAAAAUAAACAUUUACCUUCGGUUGGGGCGACCGCGGAGGAAAAAUCAGCCUCCGAGUGGAACGGGCUAAAUACCUAAAACCAAGAGGGACAUCUCUAAGCCGCAGAAAAUCUGACCAAAAAUGAUCCGACACAUAGUCGAUCAACGAACCAAGUUACCCUAGGGAUAACAGCGCAAUCCUCUCCCAGAGUCCAUAUCGACGAGGGGGUUUACGACCUCGAUGUUGGAUCAGGACAUCCUAAUGGUGCAGCCGCUAU
rnacentral:rRNA from 1 species